GUGAAGCCCCCCUCGAGAUGAGAUUUCCCAUUCCUAUAUGGAAGUAAGACCCCUGAGAGAUGAUCAGGUAGAUAGGCUGGAAGUGGAAGUGCAGCGAUGCAUGGAGCGGACCAGUACUAAUCGGUCGAGGACUUAACCAAG
rnacentral:rRNA from 1 species